UGCAGAAGAAGCGCCGGCUAACUACGUGCCAGCAGCCGCGGUAAUACGUAGGGCGCAAGCGUUGUCCGGAAUUAUUGGGCGUAAAGAGCUCGUAGGCGGCUUGUCACGUCGGAUGUGAAAGCCCGGGGCUUAACCCCGGGUCUGCAUUCGAUACGGGCUAGCUAGAGUGUGGUAGGGGAGAUCGGAAUUCCUGGUGUAGCGGUGAAAUGCGCAGAUAUCAGGAGGAACACCGGUGGCGAAGGCGGAUCUCUGGGCCAUUACUGACGCUGAGGAGCGAAAGCGUGGGGAGCGAACAGGAUUAGAUACCCUGGUAGUCCACGCCGUAAACGUUGGGAACUAGGUGUUGGCGACAUUCCACGUCGUCGGUGCCGCAGCUAACGCAUUAAGUUCCCCGCCUGGGGAGUACGGCCGCAAGGCUAAAACUCAAAGGAAUUGACGGGGGCCCGCACAAGCAGCGGAGCAUGUGGCUUAAUUCGACGCAACGCGAAGAACCUUACCAAGGCUUGACAUAUACCGGAAAGCAUCAGAGAUGGUGCCCCC
rnacentral:rRNA from 1 species